rnacentral:rRNA from 1 species
GACGAACGCUGGCGGCGUGCUUAACACAUGCAAGUCGAACGGUAAGGCCCUUCGGGGUACACGAGUGGCGAACGGGUGAGUAACACGUGGGUGAUCUACCCUGCACUUCGGGAUAAGCCUGGGAAACUGGGUCUAAUACCGGAUAGGACUCCUGGCUCCACGGUUGGGGGUGGACAGCUUUUGCGGUGUGGGAUGGGCCCGCGGCCUAUCAGGUUGUUGGUGGGGUAAUGGCCUACCAAGGCGACGACGGGUAGCCGGCCUGAGAGGGGGACCGGUCACACUGGGACUGAGAUACGGCCCAGACUCCUACGGGAGGCAGCAGUGGGGAAUAUUGCACAAUGGGCGCAAGCCUGAUGCAGCGACGCCGCGUGAGGGAUGACGGCCUUCGGGUUGUAAACCUCUUUCAGCUAUGACGAAGCGCAAGUGACGGUAGUAGCAGAAGAAGGACCGGCCAACUACGUGCCAGCCGCCGCUGUAA